GUCCCAAUGUAAAGUCCUGUCCUGAAAUCCUUAAGUCUUUUUUCUGGCAUCACAGUGAAUGUCCAAAGUGUGGAGAGCCUUCCUGGCUGCCAGGGCAGUGAAGUUGUGUUUUCUCAGGAAUGCUGCAAAACGCUGAAGAAAAACUUAAUUUCUCCUCAACCACUGGAGCAUUUGUGUGCUGAAAAAAGCACUGACAAACUCUGCAGACACUGUGUGGUUGUGUCUGGCCUCCAGCACUCCUGGGCUGGGCUGGUUUCGCUCUGCUCCCGAUGUCCCGAGACGCAGGAGCCAUCGAUCCGAGGUCCUGACACCUCUGCCACGAGCCUGGAGGAGCAGCCAGAGUUUAGCAUUUGACUUGCAGCCAGAGGGCUCCCAGGACUUGGGGAGCAUGUCAUGAAAACGUUGGAAAUAGAUGCUAUUUGUUGUGUUCCUUGUA